GCCAGAGUCAGUUGAUUGGUGCUUACAGGUCCGAGAUAGCUGAUACAGUCUUGCAGAAGUCUUGAUCUUGGGCAUUCAUCAAUAUUGACCCCUUUGCCAUCACCAAUAUCCAACCUAUGCCAGCUUCAAUCCAGUGUUGGAAAGCCAAUUUCUGAGCCUUUGCAUCCUCACCUAAACCCUUCCCAACCUGUAGAAGUUUUAAAUUUCAUGAAGUAUCAAAACUGAAGUUCUACUCAGGAAUAGAAGGUGGCAGAAAUCAAGAUUUCAUGUUUACUAGGCAAGUACGCAUGCCUUUGAAGCAUUUUGACUGAUCCUACUCCACCGCGAAGCUGGUUUUUCAGGCUGGAAGAAGUCAAAGAAAGCAAUCGUGCUGUGAUUCAAACGAGCAUAUUCUAUUGCUUGCCACCUUCAUAUUGUUUGUCUGCUUCACUGCAGCUUUGAUGGCCUGAAAGCAGUUCGUUUCUUGGGCUGAUUGGAGAUCAGACUUUGGAGCAGCUUGGUUGCUGAUAUCCAUUUAUUCA